GAUGAAGAACGUAGUGAAAUGCGAUAAGUAGUGUGAAUUGCAGAAUUCAGUGAAUCAUCGAAUCUUUGAACGCACAUUGCGCCCCUUGGUAUUCCAUGGGGCAUGCCUGUUCGAGCGUCAUUUGUACCUUCAAGCUCUGCUUGGUGUUGGGUGUUUGUCUCGCCUCUGCGUGUAGACUCGCCUCAAAACAAUUGGCAGCCGGCGUAUUGAUUUCGGAGCGCAGUACAUCUCGCGCUUUGCACUCAUAACGACGACGUCCAAAAGUACAUUUUUACACUCUUGACCUCGGAUCAGGUAGGGAUACCCGCUGAACUUAAGCAUAUCAAUAAGCGGGGGA
rnacentral:misc_RNA from 1 species